rnacentral:rRNA from 1 species
UACGUAGGGUGCGAGCGUUGUCCGGAAUUAUUGGGCGUAAAGGGCUCGUAGGCGGUUUGUCGCGUCGGGAGUGAAAACCAGGUGCUUAACACCUGGCUUGCUUUCGAUACGGGCAGACUAGAGGUAUUCAGGGGAGAACGGAAUUCCUGGUGUAGCGGUGAAAUGCGCAGAUAUCAGGAGGAACACCGGUGGCGAAGGCGGGUCUCUGGGCCGAUACUGACGCUGAGGAGCGAAAGCGUGGGGAGCGAACAGG